rnacentral:rRNA from 1 species
UACGGAGGGUGCAAGCGUUAUCCGGAUUUACUGGGUUUAAAGGGUGCGUAGGUGGGUCGGUAAGUCAGUGGUGAAAUCUUCGAGCUUAACUCGGAAACUGCCAUUGAUACUAUUUAUCUUGAAUACUUUGGAGGUAAGCGGAAUAUGUCAUGUAGCGGUGAAAUGCUUAGAUAUGACAUAGAACACCAAUUGCGAAGGCAGCUUACUACACAGUUAUUGACACUGAGGCACGAAAGCGUGGGGAUCAAACAGG